rnacentral:rRNA from 1 species
UGAGCAAUCUGCCCUUCUCUUCGGAAUAAGCGUUGGAAACGACGUCUAAUGCCGAAUACGACCUCCUUUCGCAUGAUCGGAGGUGGAAAGCUCCGGCGGAGAAGGAUGAGCUCGCGGCCUAUCAACUAGUUGGUGUGGGUAAUGGCCCACCAAGGCGACGACGGGUAGCCGGCCUGAGGAGGGUGACCGGCCACACUGGGACUGAGACACGGCCCAGACCUCCGUACGGGGAGGCAGCAGGG